rnacentral:rRNA from 1 species
UACGUAGGGGGCGAGCGUUGUCCGGAAUCACUGGGCGUAAAGCGCACGUAGGCGGAUUGCUAAGUCAGGGGUGAAAUCCUGGAGCUCAACUCCAGAACUGCCUUUGAUACUGGCGAUCUCGAGUCCGGGAGAGGUGAGUGGAACUGCGAGUGUAGAGGUGAAAUUCGUAGAUAUUCGCAAGAACACCAGUGGCGAAGGCGGCUCACUGGCCCGGUACUGACGCUGAGGUGCGAAAGCGGUGGGGAGCAAACAGG